GAAAUAUACAAUAAGAACUUCUAAUUCUUUUCAAAAUGAAAUUUCAUUAAUAUUUCU
rnacentral:tRNA from 1 species